GCUUGGCAUGGUGGUGCAUGCCUGUAAUCCCAGCAGCUUGGGAGGCUGAGACAGGAGGAUCGUUAGAGCUGAGGAUGUGGCUCAGUGGUCCAGUACCCCUGAGUUCAAUCCCCAGGACCCUCCUCAGCAAAAAAAAAAAAAAAAUGUUUUGA
rnacentral:sRNA from 1 species